rnacentral:rRNA from 1 species
AGUGAACGCUGGCGGUAGGCCUAACACAUGCAAGUCGAACGGCAGCACAGUAAGAGCUUGCUCUUACGGGUGGCGAGUGGCGGUCGGGUGAGGAAUACAUCGGAAUCUACCUUUUCGUGGGGGAUAACGUAGGGAAACUUACGCUAAUACCGCAUACGACCUACGGGUGAAAGCAGGGGAUCUUCGGACCUUGCGCGAUUGAAUGAGCCGAUGUCGGAUUAGCUAGUUGGCGGGGUAAAGGCCCACCAAGGCGGCGAUCCGUAGCUGGUCUGAGAGGAUGAUCAGCCACACUGGAACUGAGACACGGUCCAGACUCCUACGGGAGGCAGCAGUGGGGAAUAUUGGACAAUGGGCGCAAGCCUGAUCCAGCCAUACCGCGUGGGUGAAGAAGGCCUUCGGGUUGUAAAGCCCUUUUGUUGGGAAAGAAAAGCAGCAGGUUAAUACCCCGCUGUUCUGACGGUACCCAAAGAAUAAGCACCGGCUAACUUCGUG